UGGGGAAUAUUGCACAAUGGGCGCAAGCCUGAUGCAGCAACGCCGCGUGAACGAUGAAGGUCUUCGGAUCGUAAAGUUCUGUUGCAGGGGAAGAUAAUGACGGUACCCUGUGCGGAAGCCCCGGCUAACUACGUGCCAGCAGCCGCGGUAAUACGUAGGGGGCUAGCGUUAUCCGGAUUACUGGGCGUAAAGGGUGCGUAGGUGGUCUUUCAAGUCGGUGGUUAAAGGCUACGGCUCAACCGUAGUUAGCCUCCGAAAAUGGAAGACUUGAGGGGAGGAGAGGAAAGUGGAAUUCCCAGUGUAGCGGUGAAAUGCGUAGGUAUUGGGAGGGAAACCAGUAGGGAAGGCGGCUUUCUGGACUGCAACUGACACUGAGGCACGAAAGAGUGGGUAGCAAACAGG
rnacentral:rRNA from 1 species